UCUCCUGCUGCCGUGUGAGAUAUGGCUGCUUCCCGUUCUGCCAUGAUGGUGCAGGAUUUCAGACGAGUAGCCACCUGGAUGAGAUACUGAUUUUCCUGCUGAGUAGGAGUUGAAACAGAAUGGAGGGUGGAGAGAAAGGAACCAGAAACAUGGAAGAAAACUGGAACCAGCUCACACAGAGCAUCUGAGGAGGAGAGGGAAGAAAAGCCUGCAGGAGCCCCUUUUGCCCUUGACUGCCCUGUCCUGGAAGUGACCCCUCACUUCUGCUCAGAUUCCAUCAGUGAGAACGAGGCACAGGGACCCACCGAGACACCAAUGGGCUGUGGGCUGAGGAAGAGAUGAGGAUAUUGACAACCAGGAGGUGGAAGUCACAGCCAAGGACACAUCUUGAGUCAUGAAGAGAAACUGUCAACUCACUGGCCUCCCGACCCUGUUUGCAUCUCACCCUCAAAGGGUUUUGGCCUCAGCGCUUGCCCGCCGGUCUCUGGAACCCUAUCCAAAUGAUUGAGAAACUGAGGUCGUGGGAGAUGAAGUCAUUUUCCUAAGGUCCCAUAGCUGGUGGGGAAAAUGAGGCCCACAAGAAGGACAUCCCUUAUCAGUGGUGGGACCAGGACACAUAAGCCCAGGGCUGUCUGACUCCAAGAUCACUUCUCUUUCUCCUCCUGGAUUCUGAGACUGAUGGAAAGAGGGGCUCUCCAGGCUCUACCUUGAAGAGGAAGUUUCUGAUGUCAAACCUGGUGCUGAGAGUUUGUGACCUUUGCUCAGCACACUGGUGGUGGGGAUCAGAGCCAGAUUAGAUUCUCCAGCCACUCUGGUCUCUUUCCAGCCUUGGUCUGUGCCUCUGCAAAGUAUUCCAUGUCUACAAAGUGUUUUUGUAUCCCUUUUCUCAAUGCUCCUCAGCAAGCAGGACUGGAAAAUAAGUCAAGUGUCCAGGCCCAGGCAUGGGACAGAUUCACUGCUGAGCUUAGGCUACCUGACACUGAAGGCCAGGGCUAGGGGGAACCCCAGGUGCUUCCUGGACUGGAGGAUCCUUGUCACCAACAUAGCUGGCAUCCUGGGACCACUGCUGGAGAAAAAGGAGACGGAAAGGAAGCACGUACUGAAAACCUACAAUAGCUUCAUAUUGUGUUAGAUAUUUUUACUUACUCCUUAAUUUAACUCUGCCACAAAGCUAACAUUAUCAUCAACUUCGCCAUAGUGCAGAGGAGAGAGCUGGCUGACCCAAGGAUACACAGCUAGCAGCAGGUCCUUGUUCUGCGCUUCCUGAGUCUGGAAUUCCUUGUCCUCCUCCUUUGCCUGGUGAACUCCUACUCAUCCGUCAAAGCUCAAAUCAAUCAAAUAUUUCUUUAUGAGGAACUUCUUGUGUAAAUAAAUAAUGAAAUAAAACAGCAAAGUGGAAAGAGAUGAGAAUAAAGAAAUCACUGGAACAAUUAGGAGGAGACCCUUGAGAAACUCACCAGAAAAAGGCCGACCAAGGUGGCAAAAGUGCAGAAUGCCCAGAUUAGAGAUCUACAAAGCCACAGGGCUUUGCAAACAGGAGGAAUAGACAUUUCUGGCCAACAAAUUAUUAACAACUGCCUCCUUACAAGGAGUGGGGAGGAAACCUCUUUAGCAACACACUACUGAUAAAGAAACUUGAGGUUUCCAUAUAUGGAGACUAAAAUGAUGUACAAAGAGUUCUAAGGGUCCUGAAAUAAGGAACCAUCAUCCCAGCAUGGAACAGUGAAGUAGAAGGGGAACAGCAAGAUGAAGACUCCAGACAAGGCCCAAGCACACACAGCUGCUCCAGCCACACCCGCUGGUCUCAGUUGACUGGUUUGGAGGUGGACAUCUCACUCAAGCUCGGCCAAUGGGUGUCCCUCCUCUGGGGCUUUUGAACAUGGGAUUUUAGAGAGCUUGAGGAUGUCACUGGAGGCUGAUGUAACUCUUGGAGCUAUUGGAAACUAUUAGGAGAAUGCCAAUUAGCAGCAAGGAAGAGGUGAGCUCACAUGCAGAGAGAAACAGCUGCAGAGACUUGAUGACAUUAUUGGUUCUGGAUCCCAUCACGGCUGAAGGUUGCUUAUCAUUCUGCCCUUCACCUGGCUUAGUCUGGGAAGUGAUUUCUUAAUUUUCUCCAAGGCAAUACAUGUCCCUCUCCAUUUUAGCUGGCCUAAGAUAAUUUUUGUCAAUUGGAACCAAAUAGCUCUCAUUAAUACUGAUCACUGUACACUUUCCUGUCGAAAAUUUGAAAAUGGUUCUUCAUUCCCCUAGGAAUACAAAGCAAAAAUAAAAAUCUCUACCAUAGCCUACAAGGCCAGCGUGGGCUGGCUCCUUUCUGGCUCCUAGACCUCAAGUUGUAUCCUUGGACAUCACCUAUUAACAGGCCCUUGUCCAUGGGGCUCCCUCCAUGUGGAAUGCCCUCCCUUCGACCCUACUCAGUCUUCAGAUUACAGACCGACCACAGCUUCUCUGGGAAGCAUUUUCUGACCUCCGUGGCAGACCAAACUCCCAUGGAAUAGUCCCUUGGAGUACCAAGUCACCAUCUCCCCAGCACUUGCCACAAUUGUAAUUGUACUUUCAUUUGUGAUUAUGUGAUGGUUAUUUGUCUCACCUGCUGUCAGAUCAGUGGCAGCAUUAGAUUCUCCUAGGAAAAACCAACUCAGGGAUCCCAUUGAUUCUACAUUAUGGUGAGUAUGAAUAAUAAUAGGAAUAAAGUACACAAUAAAUGUUAUGUGCUGGAAUCAUCCUGAAACCAUUUCCCCACCCACCGUCCAUGGAAAAAUCAUCUUCCAUAAAACCGGCCAAAAAGGUUUGGGGACCACUGCUCUACACCAUCUCCAGCACCCAACUCAGUACCGUAGUGGCUGUCAGAUGGGUUUGCAACUUCAUGGACACUCCUCCUCUCAAAUUCUCCUUAAGUGGGCCCAGCUUGGUGACUCAUUUCUAAUGAAUGAAAUGCAGUGAAAGUGAUGUGAUGUAAUUUCUCAGGCUAAGUCCUAAAAGGAAGCUGCUUCCACUUGGCUGUCCCUCGAGGACUGUUUACUUUGAGAAAGGCUAUCUGUCAUUUUGUGAGGACACUCAAGCAGCAUGUGGAGGGCCCUAUAUAGGGAAGAACUGGGUCCUCCCACCAGUGGCUGUUACCAGCUCACUAGCCAUGCAAGUGAACCACCGUGGACAUAAAUCUUUUAUUCCAGUCCAGCCUCCAGACGACUGCAACCCCAAAUAACAUCAUUACUGCAAUCUUAUGAGGGACCCUGAGCCAGAACCACCCAGUUAAGUUACUCCCAAAUUCCUGAUCCACAAAACUGAGUGAGAUAAUAAAUAUUUAUUAUUUUAAGCCACUAAGUUUUGGGAUGAUUUGUUGUGCAAUAGGUAUGCCUGGCACGCAGUAGAUAUUCAGUGGCUAUUUGUUGCCUGUCUGGAUAAAUAAUACAGUGGAUAAAUCAAACUUAAAUUAUAGCCAAUGUUUUAAGCCUCCUCCUCUGCCCAUUUGGAUUUCUCCUAGCUCUGACAUUCUGGGCCCUAUGAUUGUAGUUGAUGUUGUCAGUGGCUGGCUUGUAUCACCCAGACCUUUCCAUGCUCCAUAUCUACUUCUUACUGCCAGGGUUUGUCUUUAGGGAUCAAAUCUUUGGAUAAUUCUAGGGAGUAUGUUUGCUCCAUUUCCCAAAGGAUUUGAGCUUCAGUUACUCAUAGGGGCCACUGGUUUAAUAACACAUGCUUUAUUCAUUGCCUCCCCUUCCUUGUAUUAUUCCACUACUUCCUUGCAUGUCCCAUAUCAACUACUUGUGCUCAGAUCCUUUCUUUAGGGUCUGCUUUUUUGGGGGACCCCACACUAAUACCGUGCUCUUUUUUGCAGGUAGGGGCCAUGCCUUGUACUUUCUUGUGCUCCCACAGGGCCUGAGACUGAGCCAGGUUCUCAAUUCUAGAACCAGUCUCCAGGUAUCCCUGUAGGAAGGUCCCCAUAGCUCUGGUGCCAGGAACUAAGAGAUGGAGUCCAUUGGAGGAAGACCAAAGCACACUUCUCUUGAGGAAGUGCCUGUUUUUAACUCCACAUCCUUUUGCCCUGUUCUCGUCUGCUCUGAUGGGAGCUCCUGGGUCUACCUGGGUAAGAGCCAGAGCUGUUAAUCACCAGGUGAUGAGAUACACACAGGCCUUAGUCACAGCCUCAAACCAGGGCUGCCUCUCCCAGUUCCCAUAGCAGAGCAGCUGUCUUUGAUUUCAGGUAGUUCAGGGGAGGAGGAGGGCUACGGAAAGGAGGGAGAAGUGAGGGAGGAGGAGAGGAGAAAGAAGUGAGGAACAGGGAAGGAAAAGGACCCUCUCUCCAGAGGCGCCUGACCCAGGGUACCUCUCCCUUUCUUGUGGGGUCCUUUCUGCUGCUUCUCCCAGUCUCCUGAGAUAGCACUGAAGAGGCCCUUUCUCUCCGACUGGGAGCUGACAGUUGUUGAUCUGUCUUUGCCAGGAAUUUUGCUCCAAAUAGUCUUUGUAGAUAUAAUUAAGGCUCUGGGCAUAAGAUCAUUGCUGAUUUAGGGUGGGCCCUAAAUCCAAUGACAGGUGUCCUUAUAAGAGAAAGGGACAUUACACACAAACACACACGGCAAGGCUGUGAGAAGAUGGAGGCAAAGUGGAGUGAUGCGUCUACAAGUCAAAGAAGAAUAAGGGUUGCUGGAACCACCAGAAACUACGAGAGAGGCAUGGAUCAGAUUUUCCCUUGGAGCCUCCAGAAGGAGCUAUCUCUGCCAAUACCUGGAUUUCAGACUUCUGGCUUUCUGAAUGAAAAACAUUGCUGUCCCUUGCUACAGGAUGCUUCUCAAAUGCCAAGAAUUCUACCAUGCCCCUGGCCAGCUCCAUCAGACAAGAUGGGCAGAAGGCAGCACUGCCCCAAGGUGGCACUGCCAGGGACUUCCAUCCCCCUCCAGCCACCAGAGUGACUGAGGACCAUGGAGAUUGAGAGCCCCAGGAAAUACUCCUUACCUGGGCUUUCACAGCCCGAGAGACCACCAGGAUGAACCCCACACACAGCUGCCACCAGGAACCACAGCCCCGGGUCAGGACAGUGAAUUUAGAUAAGAUGCUCUGGAAGGAACACCUGCCCAGUAACAGCACCUCUACCAAUGAACUGACUCCAAUGCUGGCUUCGAGGCUCUAAAAUCAGUAAACUCUGUUUCCCAGCAGCUUAUGUGAAUGUCUCCUUUUGC
rnacentral:lncRNA from 10 species